GUGCUAGCUUUGGCAGCACAUACACUAAAAUUGGAAUAAUACUGAGAAGAUUAGCAUGGCCCCUGCCCAAAGAUGAUAGACAAUCCGUGAAGCGUUUCAUAUUUUU
rnacentral:snRNA from 1 species